rnacentral:rRNA from 1 species
GUACCGUGAGGGAAAGGCGAAAAGAACCCCGGCGAGGGGAGUGAAAAAGAACCUGAAACCGUGUACGUACAAGCAGUGGGAGCCUCUUUAUGGGGUGACUGCGUACCUUUUGUAUAAUGGGUCAGCGACUUAUAUUCUGUAGCAAGGUUAACCGAAUAGGGGAGCCGAAGGGAAACCGAGUCUUAACUGGGCGUUAAGUUGCAGGGUAUAGACCCGAAACCCGGUGAUCUAGCCAUGGGCAGGUUGAAGGUUGGGUAACACUAACUGGAGGACCGAACCGACUAAUGUUGAAAAAUUAGCGGAUGACUUGUGGCUGGGGGUGAAAGGCCAAUCAAACCGGGAGAUAGCUGGUUCUCCCCGAAAGCUAUUUAGGUAGCGCCUCGUGAAUUCAUCUCCGGGGGUAGAGCACUGUUUCGGCAAGGGGGUCAUCCCGACUUACCAACCCGAUGCAAACUGCGAAUACCGGAGAAUGUUAUCACGGGAGACACACGGCGGGUGCUAACGUCCGUCGUGAAGAGGGAAACAACCCAGACCGCCAGCUAAGGUCCCAAAGUCAUGGUUAAGUGGGAAACGAUGUGGGAAGGCCCAGACAGCCAGGAUGUUGGCUUAGAAGCAGCCAUCAUUUAAAGAAAGCGUAAUAGCUCACUGGUCGAGUCGGCCUGCGCGGAAGAUGUAACGGGGCUAAACCAUGCACCGAAGCUGCGGCAGCGACACUAUGUGUUGUUGGGUAGGGGAGCGUUCUGUAAGCCUGUGAAGGUGGCCUGUGAGGGUUGCUGGAGGUAUCAGAAGUGCGAAUGCUGACAUAAGUAACGAUAAAGCGGGUGAAAAGCCCGCUCGCCGGAAGACCAAGGGUUCCUGUCCAACGUUAAUCGGGGCAGGGUGAGUCGACCCCUAAGGCGAGGCCGAAAGGCGUAGUCGAUGGGAAACAGGUUAAUAUUCCUGUACUUGGUGUUACUGCGAAGGGGGGACGGAGAAGGCUAUGUUGGCCGGGCGACGGUUGUCCCGGUUUAAGCGUGUAGGCUGGUUUUCCAGGCAAAUCCGGAAAACCAAGGCUGAGGCGUGAUGACGAGGCACUACGGUGCUGAAGCGACAAAUGCCCUGCUUCCAGGAAAAGCCUCUAAGCAUCAGGUAACAUCAAAUCGUACCCCAAACCGACACAGGUGGUCAGGUAGAGAAUACCAAGGCGCUUGAGAGAACUCGGGUGAAGGAACUAGGCAAAAUGGUGCCGUAACUUCGGGAGAAGGCACGCUGAUAUGUAGGUGAAGCGACUUGCUCGUGGAGCUGAAAUCAGUCGAAGAUACCAGCUGGCUGCAACUGUUUAUUAAAAACACAGCACUGUGCAAACACGAAAGUGGACGUAUACGGUGUGACGCCUGCCCGGUGCCGGAAGGUUAAUUGAUGGGGUUAGCGGUAACGCGAAGCUCUUGAUCGAAGCCCCGGUAAACGGCGGCCGUAACUAUAACGGUCCUAAGGUAGCGAAAUUCCUUGUCGGGUAAGUUCCGACCUGCACGAAUGGCGUAAUGAUGGCCAGGCUGUCUCCACCCGAGACUCAGUGAAAUUGAACUCGCUGUGAAGAUGCAGUGUACCCGCGGCAAGACGGAAAGACCCCGUGAACCUUUACUAUAGCUUGACACUGAACAUUGAGCCUUGAUGUGUAGGAUAGGUGGGAGGCUUUGAAGUGUGGACGCCAGUCUGCAUGGAGCCGACCUUGAAAUACCACCCUUUAAUGUUUGAUGUUCUAACGUUGGCCCGUAAUCCGGGUUGCGGACAGUGUCUGGUGGGUAGUUUGACUGGGGCGGUCUCCUCCUAAAGAGUAACGGAGGAGCACGAAGGUUGGCUAAUCCUGGUCGGACAUCAGGAGGUUAGUGCAAUGGCAUAAGCCAGCUUGACUGCGAGCGUGACGGCGCGAGCAGGUGCGAAAGCAGGUCAUAGUGAUCCGGUGGUUCUGAAUGGAAGGGCCAUCGCUCAACGGAUAAAAGGUACUCCGGGGAUAACAGGCUGAUACCGCCCAAGAGUUCAUAUCGACGGCGGUGUUUGGCACCUCGAUGUCGGCUCAUCACAUCCUGGGGCUGAAGUAGGUCCCAAGGGUAUGGCUGUUCGCCAUUUAAAGUGGUACGCGAGCUGGGUUUAGAACGUCGUGAGACAGUUCGGUCCCUAUCUGCCGUGGGCGCUGGAGAACUGAGGGGGGCUGCUCCUAGUACGAGAGGACCGGAGUGGACGCAUCACUGGUGUUCGGGUUGUCAUGCCAAUGGCACUGCCCGGUAGCUAAAUGCGGAAGAGAUAAGUGCUGAAAGCAUCUAAGCACGAAACUUGCCCCGAGAUGAGUUCUCCCUGACUCCUUGAGAGUCCUGAAGGAACGUUGAAGACGACGACGUUGAUAGGCCGGGUGUGUAAGCGCAGCGAUGCGUUGAGCUAACCGGUACUAAUGAACCGUGAGG